UCACGCUCUAUCCUAAUCUAGCUCAGUAUAACAUCAAUACCAUCCAUGGAUAAUCAGGCAGUUGAUCUUUAUAAGCAGAGCUGAACAGUUGAAAACAUAUUUUCUAAGUAGGAACAAUCAUCAUGGGUUGCUGUCAGGGAAUAGGGCGACGUUCUGAGGUUCAGAGACUGGAGACCCGUUCUCAUCGUGCCACAAGGGACAUGGCCAGCCCUACGCUGCGCGGGGCAUUUGAGCACUGGGAUGGAGAGAAGCCAGCCUCACCGGAACUUGAGGAUCUGCGGCAUUUAAUCUGGAGCUUGGAUAACAGCAGAUAUAUGUACGUGAAGAGCACGAUGAUCAAGAAGCCGAAAGGGCGUCGUCUUUCCUUCUUGGCAGAAUGAUUGUGUAAUAGCCUUCACUGACAUUAAAAUUUUGAUAUGUGUGCGAUACAAACAGGAGACACUUGGCAGACGGACUGUUCACUUUAUCCAUAUUAGUAGUACUUGUACAUGUUGUCUGAUGUUGACUGUUCACCGGCAAUCGGAUUGCUUAAAAAUUGUAUCAUGAGCUUGUUAUUCCAUUUGAGUUUUGGUAUACGUUGACUAUUGUCAGGCAGCCUGUUUGCUUGAUUCUCUUCAUCUG